rnacentral:rRNA from 1 species
CAGUCGAGCGGAUGAGUGGAGCUUGCUCCAUGAUUCAGCGGCGGACGGGUGAGUAAUGCCUAGGAAUCUGCCUGGUAGUGGGGGACAACGUUUCGAAAGGAACGCUAAUACCGCAUACGUCCUACGGGAGAAAGUGGGGGAUCUUCGGACCUCACGCUAUCAGAUGAGCCUAGGUCGGAUUAGCUAGUUGGUGAGGUAAAGGCUCACCAAGGCGACGAUCCGUAACUGGUCUGAGAGGAUGAUCAGUCACACUGGAACUGAGACACGGUCCAGACUCCUACGGGAGGCAGCAGUGGGGAAUAUUGGACAAUGGGCGAAAGCCUGAUCCAGCCAUGCCGCGUGUGUGAAGAAGGUCUUCGGAUUGUAAAGCACUUUAAGUUGGGAGGAAG